GUUGUUAACUAGAGUCUCAAAAGACGUCUCUCUUUAGAUGCAAAAUGAAGUCUCCUGCAGACUUGUGUUGUUUGAGACAGUGUUUCCAAAAGAAUGGCAGGCAGUUCAAAAAUGCAUUUAAAGAAUCGCAGACUGUCCGUGAGAUAAAGGUGCUGUCCUCUGAGAUUCCACAGUUAAGUGGAAUUAAAUGGGAAAUUUUUGCCUCCUAAUGGAGCACAGUGACACAUGGCCCUGAUGGGUACGACAUCAUUUCUGCUAUACUCUCUUGGUGGAAGGAGUCGAGAGCCCACCUGGAUUCAAAGGACUGGGACAGAGACCCCACCUCUCGAUGGGAGGAGUGUCGAGUGUUUGCAGCAGCUGCUGGAACCACCCUGACUGCGGCAGGCUCUUGAGGAAUGAGACCUGGGAACUUCCGGAGGAGGCUGUGAAUGUGGCUGGAGGGUGUGAAGCUGUUCUGACUUUCACAGCGGAGUCUGUCCCACAAGAUGAGUCAGCGGGUGUCCAAAGCAAAGUUGCCCCUCCAACAUUCUGCGAGCCUGGGGCACCGAGCUGUCCGGGGGUCCUGAGCACCGGCCCUCGUCAGCAAGGCGGCCCUGUCUCUGCGGCGAGCACUGCGGCCUGCAGCGGCCAGGUGAAGACACGGAGGCCCCAAGAGGUGACACUACUUAGCAAAGGUCACCCAGCCACCCACCAGCACAUCUGGAUCUCAGACGCAGCGUUCUGGACUCUGGGUUCAGAACCUUUGAAGAAUAUGGUACAGUUAUGCUCACUGAUGGCUUGCCCAUGUCGCUUUUCCCGUGUGCUGUCAUGUAACAAAUUGACUUCAAAGAAUGCCUUCUAUGAAACAUUAGAAAUGAAGCAUGUUCUGUCAUCAGCUGAAAGCAUACGAUGUUCACAAGAACUGUGCUCGAUCGGAGAAUAUUUGGCUCUUGCAAGGUGUCCCCUUGUCCAGGAAGUCUUUCCCUGCAGCGCUGACAUCCAGCCUCGGUUUGACCUGAAGGUAAAGCUGGAGGGCGAGGAUCAUACGGCUUGUGGAGUUCAGACGAGCAUGGUGACCCCAGGGCACGGGGCCUCCUUCCUCAGCCCUGGGAGGGACAACUACGUGACUCGGCAGAUUCGUUGCCUCAGUUUACUCUUCUCUAAAUGGAGAAUGCUGAGGCAAUACAGAGAGAAUUGGAUGAGUGGUAAGAAACGGGUGAACUCUUGAAAGUCUUUAAGAUUUGGGGUGUUUUCUCUUCACCUUGACAUUCUAGACUCUUCCCCCUCUCGUCCCAAACCCCUUCAUUCCCGCUGUCUCCUGCAACUCUGUUCCUCCCAGCUUUGUUUAUCCGAAUCUACCUUCUUGUUCUCUGAACCACCGGAGUUCUAAUCACAGUCGUCCUGCUGAGCAAAGUGGAGGGCCGGGAGAGAGCAUCCAUCAGAGGCGGCGACUACAGGCACGGGCAGAGACGCUACCGUCAUCUACCACACAUGGACACGCGGACACACACAGAUACACAGACAUGCACACACAGACGCACACAACACAGACACGCGGACACACACACGCGCACACGCACAUAUACACAGACAUUCACACAUGGACGCACACAACACAGACACGCGGAUACACACACAUGCACACGCACGAACACAUCUUUGAAUUAUUUGAUGUUUAUUCCUGAAUCCAGCCGUUCUCUGCUCUUCAUCCUCUUCUACCCGGCCUGAAUGCAGACAAAUGAAGCAGAAAGUAUUUUAUGUUACUCUGAGAAAGCUGAGAGAGGCUGUAAUUUAUUUAUAAAAGGGGCUUUGCAAAAAAGUGAGAAGAAUAAAAGGCAAAGGAUCGUUGACAGCACGGGUGCCGGCCGUCGUGGCCUCUGAUGACAGGAGCUGAGGAGCCAUGUCCCCGAUUGUCGUGGGCUGGAAAGAACCUCAGCCCCUUGUCCUUGCAAGAGCACAGGGUUCAGUUUCCCCACAUGUGGUCAUCGCAGCACACUUGUAAGCCCCUGAGCGGCUGCGCUCGAUCUCCACAGAGCUGCUGGGCCCGACACGCUGGUCCCGCGGGAGAGAAGCCUUUUCCUAAAUUGCGCACAGGUGUCCUCCGGCCUGCACGGGCCCAGCCUCCGCGUGUGCCUUCGGAAGGCAGUCAUGGCUCUGACCUCUGGACGUCUUCCUGUGACCCUUUCCUCUUUGCAUUUAAAAUUUCACUCAGAAUUUGUUGAGCAAUUCCAGUUUAGAAUUAGCUCUGCAAAGAUGGCAUUUUCCAUCUUACCCUCUUAAAAAUCACCCCAAAGCAGCAAGGAGAAUGAGAAUUAAAAUGCAAAACACCACCUUUACAACAAAAUUGGGAGACGUCUGUAAGCCUGAAACACAAUCUAUGAGAGAAGGCUGCCAAGGGGAGAGAAGGUCAAAGGGAGGCCCAAGAAGAGGUUCCGAGAGGGCACACACAGCUGCAGAUGUCAGGACGCACGGGCAGAGGGAGAAGGGGACCCCUGCCAUGGGGAAAGCCAACAAUCAUUUGUUUGGAACCAGAGAAGAAGAUGAUUGGGCUGGCAGCAGGAGUUCCCUGGGUGCAGCAUG
rnacentral:lncRNA from 1 species